rnacentral:rRNA from 1 species
AUUCCAAUCGAACUCGGAGAUAGCUGGUUCUCCCCGAAAUAGCUUUAGGGCUAGCCUCGAUUUAGAUUACCGGGGGUAGAGCACUGAAUGGGCUAGGGGGCCACAAAGCUUACCGAACCCUAUCAAACUUCGAAUACCGGAUAAUUGAUGAUCGGGAGUCAGACAGUGUGAGAUAAGUUUCAUUGUCGAAAGGGAAACAGCCCAGAUCUACGACUAAGGUCCCAAAGUUCAAGUUAAGUGGAAAAGGAUGUGCAAUUGCGCAGACAACCAGGAUGUUGGCUUAGUAGCAGCCAUUCAUUCAAAGAGUGCGUAAUAGCUCACUGGUCGAGUGAUUGUGCGCCGAAAAUGUAACGGGGCUAAACUUGACACCGAAGUCUAGGCAGAAGGAAACUUCUGGGUAGGGGAGCAACGUGUACGGGCAGAAGCAGAAGCGGAAGCGACUGUGGACUGUACAGGAGAGAGAAUGCCGGCAUGAGUAGCGAGAGCAAAGUGAGAAUCUUUGCCGUCGAAAGCCUAAGGUUUCCUGAGGAAGGCUCGUCCUCUCAGGGUAAGUCGGGACCUAAGCCGAGGACAAUAGUCGUAGGCGAUGGACAAUCGGUUAAUAUUCCGAUACCGCCGAGCAACCGGAUGCAGUGACACAGAAGGAUAGGCAGAGCGUGGCGAUGGUAGACCACGUCCAAGCAGUGAGGCUGUUGUGUAGUGAAGUACGCACAACGUAAGGCUGGGCUGUGAUGGGGAACGAUUACGAUCGGUAAGCUGCUGAAUUCACGCUGGCGAGAAAAGCUGCUACGAAGCGAAGGCGCCCGUACCGCAAACCGACACAGGUAGGCGAGGAGAGAAUCCUAAGACGAGCGGGAGAACCCUUGUUAAGGAACUCGGCAAAAUGACUCCGUAACUUAGGGAGAAGGAGUGCCCAGGAAUGGGCCGCAGAGAAUAGACCCAAGCGACUGUUUACCAAAAACACAGGUCUGUGCGAAGUAGAGAUACGACGUAUACGGGCUGACACCUGCCCAGUGCCGGAAGGUUAAGGGGAAAUGUUAGGGCAACCGAAGCAUGGAACUUAAGCCCCGGUGAACGGCGGCCGUAACUAUAACGGUCCUAAGGUAGCGAAAUUCCUUGUCGGGUAAG